rnacentral:rRNA from 1 species
AGAGUUUGAUCCUGGCUCAGAACGAACGCUCGCGGCGUGGAUUAGGCAUGCAAGUCGAACGAGAAAGUUUCCUUCGGGAAACGAGUAGAGUGGCGAACGGGUGAGUAAUGCAUGGAUGACCUACCCACAUGACUGGGAUAACCAUUCGAAAGGAUGGCUAAUACCGGAUGUGAUCCUCGGUUUACGGACUGAGGAUGAAAGAUAGCCUCUGUUUCAAGCUGUCGCAUGUGGAGGGGUUCAUGUGCUAUUAGUUUGUUGGUGGGGUAACGGCCUACCAAGACUAUGAUGGCUAGCCGGCCUGAGAGGGUGUCCGGCCACACUGGGACUGAGACACUGCCCAGACUCCUACGGGAGGCUGCAGUCGAGAAUCUUCCACCAAUGUGCGAAAGCAUGAUGGAGCGACGCCGCGUGGGGGAUGAAGGCCUUCGGGUCGUAAACUCCUGUCACUUGGACCUAAAACCGUAGGGUUAAUAACCUUUGCGCUUGAAGUUCCUUGAGAGGAAGCACCGGCUAAAUUCGUGCCAGCAGCCGCGGUAAUACGAAUGGUGCAAGCGUUGUUCGGAAUCACUGGGCAUAAAGCGCGCGUAGGCGGCGGUAUAAGUCAGUUGUGAAAUCCCUCGGCUCAACCGAGGAACUGCAACUGAAACUGUGCCGCUGGAGUGUGGGAGGGGAGAACGGAAUUCCUGGUGGAGCGGUGAAAUGCAUAGAUAUC